UUAAGCGACUAAGCGUACACGGUGGAUGCCCUGGCAGUCAGAGGCGAUGAAGGACGUGCUAAUCUGCGAUAAGCGUCGGUAAGGUGAUAUGAACCGUUAUAACCGGCGAUUUCCGAAUGGGGAAACCCAGUGUGUUUCGACACACUAUCAUUAACUGAAUCCAUAGGUUAAUGAGGCGAACCGGGGGAACUGAAACAUCUAAGUACCCCGAGGAAAAGAAAUCAACCGAGAUUCCCCCAGUAGCGGCGAGCGAACGGGGAGGAGCCCAGAGCCUGAAUCAGUGUGUGUGUUAGUGGAAGCGUCUGGAAAGGCGCGCGAUACAGGGUGACAGCCCCGUACACAAAAAUGCACAUGCUGUGAGCUCGAUGAGUAGGGCGGGACACGUGGUAUCCUGUCUGAAUAUGGGGGGACCAUCCUCCAAGGCUAAAUACUCCUGACUGACCGAUAGUGAACCAGUACCGUGAGGGAAAGGCGAAAAGAACCCCGGCGAGGGGAGUGAAAAAGAACCUGAAACCGUGUACGUACAAGCAGUGGGAGCACGCUUAGGCGUGUGACUGCGUACCUUUUGUAUAAUGGGUCAGCGACUUAUAUUCUGUAGCAAGGUUAACCGAAUAGGGGAGCCGAAGGGAAACCGAGUCUUAACUGGGCGUUAAGUUGCAGGGUAUAGACCCGAAACCCGGUGAUCUAGCCAUGGGCAGGUUGAAGGUUGGGUAACACUAACUGGAGGACCGAACCGACUAAUGUUGAAAAAUUAGCGGAUGACUUGUGGCUGGGGGUGAAAGGCCAAUCAAACCGGGAGAUAGCUGGUUCUCCCCGAAAGCUAUUUAGGUAGCGCCUCGUGAAUUCAUCUCCGGGGGUAGAGCACUGUUUCGGCAAGGGGGUCAUCCCGACUUACCAACCCGAUGCAAACUGCGAAUACCGGAGAAUGUUAUCACGGGAGACACACGGCGGGUGCUAACGUCCGUCGUGAAGAGGGAAACAACCCAGACCGCCAGCUAAGGUCCCAAAGUCAUGGUUAAGUGGGAAACGAUGUGGGAAGGCCCAGACAGCCAGGAUGUUGGCUUAGAAGCAGCCAUCAUUUAAAGAAAGCGUAAUAGCUCACUGGUCGAGUCGGCCUGCGCGGAAGAUGUAACGGGGCUAAACCAUGCACCGAAGCUGCGGCAGCGACGCUUAUGCGUUGUUGGGUAGGGGAGCGUUCUGUAAGCCUGCGAAGGUGUGCUGUGAGGCAUGCUGGAGGUAUCAGAAGUGCGAAUGCUGACAUAAGUAACGAUAAAGCGGGUGAAAAGCCCGCUCGCCGGAAGACCAAGGGUUCCUGUCCAACGUUAAUCGGGGCAGGGUGAGUCGACCCCUAAGGCGAGGCCGAAAGGCGUAGUCGAUGGGAAACAGGUUAAUAUUCCUGUACUUGGUGUUACUGCGAAGGGGGGACGGAGAAGGCUAUGUUGGCCGGGCGACGGUUGUCCCGGUUUAAGCGUGUAGGCUGGUUUUCCAGGCAAAUCCGGAAAAUCAAGGCUGAGGCGUGAUGACGAGGCACUACGGUGCUGAAGCAACAAAUGCCCUGCUUCCAGGAAAAGCCUCUAAGCAUCAGGUAACAUCAAAUCGUACCCCAAACCGACACAGGUGGUCAGGUAGAGAAUACCAAGGCGCUUGAGAGAACUCGGGUGAAGGAACUAGGCAAAAUGGUGCCGUAACUUCGGGAGAAGGCACGCUGAUAUGUAGGUGAAGUCCCUUGCGGAUGGAGCUGAAAUCAGUCGAAGAUACCAGCUGGCUGCAACUGUUUAUUAAAAACACAGCACUGUGCAAACACGAAAGUGGACGUAUACGGUGUGACGCCUGCCCGGUGCCGGAAGGUUAAUUGAUGGGGUCAGCGCAAGCGAAGCUCUUGAUCGAAGCCCCGGUAAACGGCGGCCGUAACUAUAACGGUCCUAAGGUAGCGAAAUUCCUUGUCGGGUAAGUUCCGACCUGCACGAAUGGCGUAAUGAUGGCCAGGCUGUCUCCACCCGAGACUCAGUGAAAUUGAACUCGCUGUGAAGAUGCAGUGUACCCGCGGCAAGACGGAAAGACCCCGUGAACCUUUACUAUAGCUUGACACUGAACAUUGAGCCUUGAUGUGUAGGAUAGGUGGGAGGCUUGGAAGUGUGGACGCCAGUCUGCAUGGAGCCGACCUUGAAAUACCACCCUUUAAUGUUUGAUGUUCUAACGUUGACCCGUAAUCCGGGUUGCGGACAGUGUCUGGUGGGUAGUUUGACUGGGGCGGUCUCCUCCUAAAGAGUAACGGAGGAGCACGAAGGUUGGCUAAUCCUGGUCGGACAUCAGGAGGUUAGUGCAAUGGCAUAAGCCAGCUUGACUGCGAGCGUGACGGCGCGAGCAGGUGCGAAAGCAGGUCAUAGUGAUCCGGUGGUUCUGAAUGGAAGGGCCAUCGCUCAACGGAUAAAAGGUACUCCGGGGAUAACAGGCUGAUACCGCCCAAGAGUUCAUAUCGACGGCGGUGUUUGGCACCUCGAUGUCGGCUCAUCACAUCCUGGGGCUGAAGUAGGUCCCAAGGGUAUGGCUGUUCGCCAUUUAAAGUGGUACGCGAGCUGGGUUUAGAACGUCGUGAGACAGUUCGGUCCCUAUCUGCCGUGGGCGCUGGAGAACUGAGGGGGGCUGCUCCUAGUACGAGAGGACCGGAGUGGACGCAUCACUGGUGUUCGGGUUGUCAUGCCAAUGGCACUGCCCGGUAGCUAAAUGCGGAAGAGAUAAGUGCUGAAAGCAUCUAAGCACGAAACUUGCCCCGAGAUGAGUUCUCCCUGACUCCUUGAGAGUCCUGAAGGAACGUUGAAGACGACGACGUUGAUAGGCCGGGUGUGUAAGCGCAGCGAUGCGUUGAGCUAACCGGUACUAAUGAACCGUGAGGCUUAACCUU
rnacentral:rRNA from 1 species